ACACCCGAAAUUAAAGAUUCCCAAGCGUCAGAAGGAAAGAGGAGAGAAAAGAGAGGCCAAACCCGGAGAGCAUCAGCGGAAAACACCAAAAAACAAAGGAGAAAGAUCCACCUCGAACCCCUCUCCCCCACCAUCUCCCAAAGCUUCUCUCUCCUCUAUCCUCCUCCUUUCUCCCAUAAAUCUUCUUCUUUUUCUUUGUCUUCCUCGUCCGGUAUCACUCGAUCCACUUUGGAUCACCAAAGCUGGAAAGAAGGGGAGAAGAGAGGAAGAAAAAUUUUAGAGAGGGAGAGAGGAAGAGAGUUAAGAAGGGAGGGAUGAGAGAAGAGGAGGAGCCUAACUGGUUCGCGCGGUGGGAGGAGCAGCUCCCAAGCCCGGAGGAGCUGAUGCCGCUCUCCCAGACUCUCAUCACCCCCGACCUCGCCCUCGCCUUCGACAUCCCUAGCGUCCUCUCCAGCCCUAACCCUAAUCCUUCCCUCCAUCACCACCACCCCGCUCCGACCCUCCACCCGCCACCGCCCGCGCCGUCCUCCCAGCCGCCACCGGACUUCGACUCCCCCGACCACCUCACGACCGCCUCAUCCGGUGGUGGGGCCUCCGGCGCCGGCGCCGGCGAGGAGCCCGCACGCACCCUGAAGCGGCCGCGGCUGGUGUGGACCCCGCAGCUCCACAAGCGGUUCGUGGACGCGGUGGCCCACCUGGGGAUCAAGAACGCCGUCCCCAAGACCAUAAUGCAGCUGAUGAGCGUCGACGGCCUCACCCGCGAGAACGUCGCCAGCCACCUCCAGAAGUAUCGCCUCUACCUCAAGCGCAUGCAGGGCCUCAGCUCCUCCGGCGGCGGCGCCGGCGGGGGAGCAGGCGGCCCCAUCUCUGCCGCCGACGCUGCCACCGAUCAGCUCUUUGCCAGCGGCUCCGUCCCCCACCACUUCCUCGGCCGCGGGCCUGGGCCGGAGCCUUUCAUGCCUUUCGUGCCGGUCGCCGCGCUGCAGCACCACCAGCAGAUCACGGCCGCCAUGCAGCAGCAACAUCAGCAGCAGCAGCAGUACUAUCAACAGAGGCAUAUGGGCCAUUUUGGUUCGCCAACCGGCGGCAGCGAGGGAUAUGAUCAUGGGUUUCUUGCACGGACCGUGCCGCAGCCGGGGAUGCAUCGGAUGGUGGGGCCGGUGGCUGUGGGCAUGGUGCCGCCUCCGCCGCCGUCCGCACCGUCAGCAGCCUCGUACGUGGAGGAUUUGGAAUCGGGCAGCAGAAGAGGAGGUGGCGAGAGGAGGAUGUUAACGCUUUUUCCAACAGGCGAAGAUUGAUUUUGGAAUGCUUCAUCUGUGUUGGAGCGCACCUCUGGAUGACAUGCUCAAGCCGCACCUCUCUGGAGGCAGCAAUUCAAGUGUUCCACAUUUAGCAUUGCCACUCAGUAGCUUGAAAUUAGCCCACCAACAUCAGUGCUGGUGAUCAGUCUGUGACCUGAAGGUUCCCAUUGGAAACUAUCAUUGCCUCCAAUUUGAGUUAUGUUCCUACAUCUCGGAUGUUAAUGUCAAGCUUUGCACACCCAAUUUGAAAUGAUGCAGUUGUGAUGUUUCUGAGGAAAGAUUGGUUGGCGCAAGUUAAUUCAAGAGGUAUUCUGAGGGCCUUUUGUUUCCAGAAGAUGGUCUAAUUCUGUAAACCUGUUUUGUUGCAAUUCUGCAAACUUUUGUGCAUUGUAGGAACUCAUGCACCCUUUUAGUCCAUAAGAUGGCCGUUUUCCUUCUGCGGUUCUGCCCAAGGAUAUCUCUAAACUAGCAAAAUGCGUUGCAUCCUUUUAUCAUGAAAGGCUCUGUAUCUCUUGAAGCUCA